UAAGACGAACCGUGCGAACGUUGUUCGGAAUCACUGGGCUUAAAGGGCGCGUAGGCGGCCGGGUUGGUCGUGGGUGAAAUCCCCCAGCUUAACUGGGGAAUUGCCUACGAUACUGCCUGGCUCGAGGGAGGAAGGGGCGGCCGGAACUGUCGGUGGAGCGGUGAAAUGCGUUGAGAUCGACAGG
rnacentral:rRNA from 1 species